rnacentral:rRNA from 1 species
GACGAACGCUGGCGGCGUGCUUAACACAUGCAAGUCGAACGGAAAGGCCCCUUUGGGGGUACUCGAGUGGCGAAGGGGUGAGUAACACGGGAGUAACCGGCCCUUGACUUCGGGAUAACUUCAGGAAACUGGGGCUAAUACCGGAUAGGAAUCCUUGCUGCAUGGUGGGGGUUGGAAAGCUUCGGCGGUUUUGGAUGGACUCGCGGCUUAUCAGCUUGUUGGUGGGGUAGUGGCUUACCAAGGCUUUGACGGGUAGCCGGCCUGUGAGGGCGACCGGCCACAUUGGGACUGAGAUACGGCCCAGACUCCUACGGGAGGCCGCAGUGGGGAAUAUUGCACCAUGGGCGGAAGCCUGAUGCAGCAACGCCGCGUGCGGGAUGACGGCCUUCGGGUUGUAAACCGCUUUCAGCAGGGGCGAAGCUUGUGGUGACGUUACCUGCAGAAGAAGCACCGGCUAACUACGUG